rnacentral:rRNA from 1 species
AUUGAACGCUGGCGGCAGGCUUAACACAUGCAAGUCGAGCGGGGUGAUGGUGCUUGCACUAUCACUUAGCGGCGGACGGGUGAGUAAUGCUUAGGAAUCUGCCUAUUAGUGGGGGACAACAUCUCGAAAGGGAUGCUAAUACCGCAUACGUCCUACGGGAGAAAGCAGGGGAUCACUUGUGACCUUGCGCUAAUAGAUGAGCCUAAGUCGGAUUAGCUAGUUGGUGGGGUAAAGGCCUCCCAAGGCGACGAUCUGUAGCGGGUCUGAGAGGAUGAACCGCCACACUGGGACUGAGACACGACCCAGACUCCUACGAGAGGCAGCAGUGGGGAAUAUUGGACAAUGGGGGGAACCCUGAUCCAGCCAUGCCGCGUGUGUGAAGAAGGCCUUAUGGUUGUAAAGCACUUUAAGCGAGGAGGAGGCUCUUUUGGUUAAUACCCAAGAUGAGUGGACGUUACUCGCAGAAUAAGCACCGGCUAACUCUGUGCCAGCCGCCGCGGUAA